ensembl:lncRNA
GACCAUGUGUUUAUCCAGAAGGCCACCUGCCCGCUGUCCCACAUUUGCCUGUGUGACACUGCCCAGUCUGGACCAACCCCAGAAGGAAGAACUUUCAGUCUUGGAGUGGAAAGGAGAAGAGAACCUCUCCAAAAUUGGGUAAACUGCUGGGCCCAAAAUACCUGGAUCUUCCCCCGAAGAGUUUAUACCCACUUGGGUGAGAAGAAGCCUUCUUGGGUGGCACUGUACAUGAAGACAGGCGGACCACGCCGAGUGACAACAUCACUGGUCAGCCCCUAGAAGCACGAGCCUGGCCCCUUGGAAAAGCAGACUGUUGCUGCAUCUCCUGAAGGUCAAAGCCAUCAGAAUCUCAGUGCUAUUAUCAGCGAGGGUUGCAAAGCCCAGCC